rnacentral:rRNA from 1 species
UACGGGGGGGGCAAGCGUUGUUCGGAAUUACUGGGCGUAAAGGGCCAGUAGGCGGCCAACUAAGUCGGAUGUGAAAUCCCCAGGCUCAACUUGGGAACUGCAUCCGAUACUGGAUGGCUUGAAUUCGGGAGAGGGAUGCAGAAUUCCAGGUGUAGCGGUGAAAUGCGUAGAUAUCUGGAGGAAUACCGGUGGCGAAGGCGGCAUCCUGGACCGACAUUGACGCUGAACGGCGAAAGCUAGGGGAGCGAAACAGGG